rnacentral:rRNA from 2 species
AACUUUCAACAACGGAUCUCUUGGUUCCAGCAUCGAUGAAGAACGCAGCGAAAUGCGAUAAGUAAUGUGAAUUGCAGAAUUCAGUGAAUCAUCGAAUCUUUGAACGCAUAUUGCGCCCCCUGGUAUUCCGGGGGGCAUGCCUGUCCGAGCGUCAUUG